rnacentral:rRNA from 1 species
CAGUCGCCGCGGUAAUACGAAGGGUGCAAGCGUUAAUCGGAAUUACUGGGCGUAAAGCGUGCGUAGGCGGUGAGUUAAGUCUGCUGUGAAAUCCCCGGGCUCAACCUGGGAAUGGCAGUGGACACUGGCUCGCUAGAGUGUGUCAGAGGAUGGUGGAAUUCCCGGUGUAGCGGUGAAAUGCGUAGAGAUCGGGAGGAACAUCAGUGGCGAAGGCGGCCAUCUGGGACAACACUGACGCUGAGGCACGAAAGCGUGGGGAGCAAACAGGAUUAGAUACCCCCGUAGUCCCUGUCUCUUAUAC